UCCAGACUCCUACGGGAGGCAGCAGUGAGGAAUAUUGGUCAAUGGGCGAGAGCCUGAACCAGCCAAGUCGCGUGAGGGAAGACGGUCCUAUGGAUUGUAAACCUCUUUUGUCGGGGAGCAAAAAGGCCUCGUGAGGCCACAAGUGAGAGUACCCGAAGAAAAAGCAUCGGCUAACUCCGUGCCAGCAGCCGCGGUAAUACGGAGGAUGCGAGCGUUAUCCGGAUUUAUUGGGUUUAAAGGGUGCGUAGGCGGCAUUAUAAGUUAGUGGUAAAAUAUUGGGGCUUCACCUCACUACGCCAUUAAUACUGUAGAGCUAGAGAACAGACGAGGUAGGCGGAAUAAGUUAAGUAGCGGUGAAAUGCAUAGAUAUAACUUAGAACACCGAUAGCGAAGGCAGCUUACCAGACUGAGUCUGACGCUGAUGCACGAGAGCAUGGGUAGCGAACAGGAUUAGAUACCCCAGUA
rnacentral:rRNA from 1 species